rnacentral:misc_RNA from 1 species
AAAGUCGUAACAAGGUUUCCGUAGGUGAACCUGCGGAAGGAUCAUUAACGAGUUAGGGUCCCCAGGGCCCGACCUCCCAACCCUUUGUUUACCAAACCAUUUGUUGCUUCGGCGAGCCCGUCUUCACGGACCGCCGGGUGGCCGUCUCAGGUUUCCUGGCCCGCGCUCGUCGGUAGCCCCAACUUAAAAUUCUUAACUAAACGUGUCAUAUCUAAGUAAAAUUUUUAAUAAAAGCAAAACUUUCAACAACGGAUCUCUUGGUUCUG